UACGUAGGUGGCAAGCGUUAUCCGGAUUUAUUGAGCGUAAAGGGAACGCAGGCGGUCUUUUAAGUCUGAUGUGAAAGCCUUCGGCUUAACCGGAGUAGUGCAUUGGAAACUGGGAGACUUGAGUGCAGAAGAGGAGAGUGGAACUCCAUGUGUAGCGGUGAAAUGCGUAGAUAUAUGGAAGAACACCAGUGGCGAAAGCGGCUCUCUGGUCUGUAACUGACGCUGAGGUUCGAAAGCGUGGGUAGUAAACAGG
rnacentral:rRNA from 1 species